rnacentral:rRNA from 1 species
AACGCUGGCGGCAUGCCUUACACAUGCAAGUCGAACGGCAGCACGGGAGCAAUCCUGGUGGCGAGUGGCGAACGGGUGAGUAAUAUAUCGGAACGUGCCCAGUCGUGGGGGAUAACGCAGCGAAAGCUGUGCUAAUACCGCAUACGAUCUCUGGAUGAAAGCGGGGGACUCGCAAGAGCCUCGCGCGAUUGGAGCGGCCGAUAUCAGAUUAGCUAGUUGGUGGGGUAAAAGCCCACCAAGGCGACGAUCUGUAGCUGGUCUGAGAGGACGACCAGCCACACUGGAACUGAGACACGGUCCAGACUCCUACGGGAGGCAGCAGUGGGGAAUUUUGGACAAUGGGCGCAAGCCUGAUCCAGCAAUGCCGCGUGCAGGAUGAAGGCCUUCGGGUUGUAAACUGCUUUUGUACGGAACGAAACGGUCCCUUCUAAUACAAGGGGCUAAUGACGGUACCGUAAGAAUAAGCACCGGCUAACUACGUGCCAGCAGCCGCGGUAAUACGUAGGGUGCGAGCGUUAAUCGGAAUUACUGGGCGUAAAGCGUGCGCAGGCGGUUAUAUAAGACAGAUGUGAAAUCCCCGGGCUCAACCUGGGACCUGCAUUUGUGACUGUAUAGCUAGAGUACGGUAGAGGGGGAUGGAAUUCCGCGUGUAGCAGUGAAAUGCGUAGAUAUGCGGAGGAACACCGAUGGCGAAGGCAAUCCCCUAGACCUGUACUGACGCUCAUGCACGAAAGCGUGGGGAGCAAACAGGAUUAGAUACCCUGGUAGUCCACGCCCUAAACGAUGUCAACUGGUUGUUGGGUCUUCACUGACUCAGUAACGAAGCUAA